rnacentral:rRNA from 1 species
GACGAACGCUGGCGGCGUGCUUAACACAUGCAAGUCGAACGGAAAGGCCCUGCUUUUGUGGGGUGCUCGAGUGGCGAACGGGUGAGUAACACGUGAGUAACCUGCCCUUGACUUUGGGAUAACUUCAGGAAACUGGGGCUAAUACCGGAUAGGAGCUCCUGCUGCAGGGUGGGGGUUGGAAAGUUUCGGCGGUUGGGGAUGGACUCGCGGCUUAUCAGCUUGUUGGGGGGGUAGUGGCUUACCAAGGCUUUGACGGGUAGCCGGCCUGAGAGGGUGAACGGCCACAUUGGGACUGAGAUACGGACCAGACUCCUACGGGAGGCAGCAGUGGGGAAUAUUGCACAAUGGGCGGAAGCCUGAUGCAGCAACGCCGCGUGCGGGAUGACGGCCUUCGGGUUGUAAACCGCUUUCGCCUGUGACGAAGCGUGAGUGACGGUAAUGGGUAAAGAAGCACCGGCUAACUACGUG